rnacentral:ncRNA from 10 species
CGCGGGGUGGAGCAGUUCGGUAGCUCGUCGGGCUCAUAACCCGAAGGUCGCAGGUUCAAAUCCUGCCCCCGCAA